rnacentral:rRNA from 1 species
AUUGAACGCUGGCGGCAGGCCUAACACAUGCAAGUCGAGCGAGCGGCGGACGGGUGAGUAUUGUCUGGGAAACUGCCUGAUGGAGGGGGAUAACUACUGGAAACGCUAUCUCUUAUCGCAUACCACCUGAUGUGCCCAGAUGUGAUUAGCUGGUAGGUGGGGUAACGGCUCACCAAGGCGACGAUCCCUAGCUGGUCUGAGAGGAUGACCAGCCACACUGGAACUGAGACACGGUCCAGACUCCUACGGGAGGCAGCAGUGGGGAAUAUUGCACAAUGGGCGCAAGCCUGAUGCAGCCAUGCCGCGUGUGUGAAGAAGGCCUUCGGGUUGUAAAGCACUUUCAGUGGGGAGGCGUUACCCGCAGAAGAAGCACCGGCUAACUCCGUGCCAGCAGCCGCGGUAAUAC